rnacentral:rRNA from 1 species
UUAGUCUUAUAAUUUGAGACUUGAAUGAAAGAGUAAACUAGAAAGAAAAUUUUUUUGUAGGAAUUUUUGAAUUUUACUUUUUAGUAAGAAGGCUAAAAUAUCUCUUUUAGACAAGAAGACCCUAUAAAAUUUUACAUUAAUUAAAGCUUAAUUGCUUUGAAGAUGUUUGGCUGGGGCGGCAGAAAAACAAAUUCAAAAUUUUUAGACUUGCAGUUUUUAUACCCAAAACUUUUGAAUGUUAAAAAAAUUACUUUAGGGAUAACAGCGUUAUAUGUUUUUAGAGCUCUAAUUGACAAACAUGUUUACGACCUCGAUGUUGGAUUAAAAGUUCUUCUUGCGCAAGAGC